UUUGGAGGGAAUGUCAUAGGGUCGAUAUAAAAGAUACAAAAUCUUUCUUUUUCUUUUGUUUUUAAAUAACUGUAACUUGUUUAAUAGUUCAUGAUUCAAAAAACCCUAUGACAUUCCCUCCAAA